ensembl:snRNA U6 U6 spliceosomal RNA
GCCUCCUUUGGCAGCUCACUAAAAUUAGAAUGAUACAGAGAGUAGCAUGGAUCCUGCACAAGGAAAGAAUGCAAUUUUGUGAAGCAUUCCCUAUUUUU